UACAGAGGUCUCAAGCGUUGUUCGGAUUCAUUGGGCGUAAAGGGUGCGUAGGCGGCGUGGUAAGUCGGAUGUGAAAUCUCGGAGCUUAACUCCGAAACUGCAUUCGAUACUGCCGUGCUUGAGGACUGGAGAGGAGACUGGAAUUCCCGGUGUAGUGGUGGAAUGCGUAGAUAUCGGGAGGAACACCAGUGGCGAAGGCGGUUGCCUGGGGCUUUGCUGACGCUGAGGCGCGAAAGCGUGGGGAGCGAUCCGG
rnacentral:rRNA from 1 species